rnacentral:rRNA from 1 species
AACGAACGCUGGCGGCAGGCUUAACACAUGCAAGUCGAGCGCCCCGCAAGGGGAGCGGCAGACGGGUGAGUAACGCGUGGGAAUCUACCCAUCUCUACGGAAUAACGCAUGGAAACGUGUGCUAAUACCGUAUACGUCCUUCGGGAGAAAGAUUUAUCGGAGAUGGAUGAGCCCGCGUUGGAUUAGCUAGUUGGUGGGGUAAAGGCCUACCAAGGCGACGAUCCAUAGCUGGUCUGAGAGGAUGAUCAGCCACACUGGGACUGAGACACGGCCCAGACUCCUACGGGAGGCAGCAGUGGGGAAUAUUGGACAAUGGGGGCAAGCCUGACCCAGCCAUGCCGCGUGAGUGAUGAAGGCCCUAGGGUUGUAGAGCUCUUUCACCGGUGAAGAUAAUGACGGUAACCGGAGAAGAAGCCCCGGCUAACUUCGUGCCAGCCGCCGCGGUAAAAC